AACGAACGCUGGCGGCAGGCUUAACACAUGCAAGUCGAGCGAGACCUUCGGGUCUAGCGGCGGACGGGUGAGUAACGCGUGGGAACGUGCCCUUCUCUACGGAAUAGCUCCGGGAAACUGGGAGUAAUACCGUAUACGCCCUUUGGGGGAAAGAUUUAUCGGAGAAGGAUCGGCCCGCGUUGGAUUAGGUAGUUGGUGGGGUAAUGGCCCACCAAGCCGACGAUCCAUAGCUGGUUUGAGAGGAUGAUCAGCCACACUGGGACUGAGACACGGCCCAGACUCCUACGGGAGGCAGCAGUGGGGAAUCUUAGACAAUGGGGGCAACCCUGAUCUAGCCAUGCCGCGUGAGUGAUGAAGGCCUUAGGGUUGUAAAGCUCUUUCAGCUGGGAAGAUAAUGACGGUACCAGCAGAAGAAGCCCCGGCUAACUCCGUG
rnacentral:rRNA from 1 species